AAGACUUUAAGACAAUCCUGAAGCCAUUUUUGACAAUUCUGAAUCCUCUCAGCCUCUGUGCCAUAGUGCUUCCCCUCCUCCCCUGGGAACCAAGGACCUAACAGCUACACUUGCACGUACUCAGUUCCUGAACAAUUACCCAUAUACGUAUGCUUUGGUUCGGUCCCCUGGGAAACGGGGUCAAAAUGACCUCUUACCUCAUCUGAUCUGGCAACAGCUCUCCAGUCAAUUAUUGGUAAUAGCCCUUUCAAAUAAGCCAAUCAGAAUAGUCAAAGAACAACCCCCCUUGCUUCUGUGGCCCCUUUAAAAGUAGACUGUACCCGCUAUUCGAGGUCCCUCGGCUUCCCGAAUGCUGGGGGACCCUGUCAUGACAGAAUUAAUAAAAUCCUCAUGCUUUUGCAUCGGCUGUAGUGUGUGAGAUGGUCUCUGGGGGCGACUCCUUCUCGGUGUUUGGACGCCAGAGUCCAACAUUUGGUUCCCUGACCGGGAAUCGAGUCGCUCCCAGACACACUCUAGACCCAGUUGGAGGUAUAAAGAAACGAGCUCAUUUUUAUGUCUGUCUGUUUGUAUAUUGUGUUUCUGUUUCUGUGUAUUAUAAAUUAGUAAUCUGAGAAUUGUACCUGCGCAGGGCUAGUAUUUGAAGGGGACCAGGCAGUGGGACAGACGUGUCCGGGAACACUCCCUGGCCCAGCCAUGGAGGACGCUUCACUGGCAAUUUGUGAAACUAGGAGCAACUAGGUCAUCUUAGUUUCUAGGGAGUGUGGCCCUUAUUGCCCACUCCCUUCCAGGUUCGUAUCAGUUUGUUGCCGCGCGGCUUCUGAUUUUGAGUUUAUGUCUGUCUUUUUGUUCUUGUGUAUUUUCAGUUCUACACCAGAGUGGUGGUGAGAGCACCAGCUUCUGGUUUUGAGUUUAUGUCUGUCUCUUUGUAUUUUUUGUUUUUGUAUGUCGGUUUGUCUUUGUUAAAAUCCACCUGCAGGAAUUCAGAACCUGGCACCGGCCCCCUGGCCAUCAUUAGUUUCCCUGAUUCCGAAAGCAGCCCCACUGCUGGAGGAGAUGGUGGCUGCCCCUCCCCAAGCCCUUUGUCUUCUCUCUUUCCUGUACAGGAGCAAAAGAAACCCAGAAUCCAGGCACCUCUGGUUCUUCCUGAUAUCCAGCCGAGCAUGACAGACUUCUCCCUCCUCCUCCCCUGGAGGAAGCACUUCGUUCCUGAGGAGCCCCGCUGGUCUGGCCCUAGCCCUGAAAACUUCGGUACUCAGCAUCCACACUGGGACAGGGGAAGGAUGAGAAUGACUUCCCAAACAUUUCCCCUUCACUCAGUAGCAGGCCAAUUGCAAUACUGCCUUUUUCUGCUUCUAAUCUUUACUUACAACCCUUCCUUUUCUCGGGACCCUCAGACAGUGACCGGGCUUAUAGAAUAUGUUCUGGUUAUUCAUCAGCCCACUUAGGAUGAUUGCCAGCAGCUCUUAUAGGUGCUCCUAACUACAGAGAAAAAAAGAAUGUCCCAGGAGCUGACAGCAGGCCAACCCAAUCACCGGACAAGAAAGAGGAUGGGACUUCAAUACUCCAGCUGGCCAGUCAGCAUCAGACAGCAAGUUGCAGAGAAUGGAGGGGCUGCAGAGAUGCUCCCUCCAGGACUUAGUAAAAAAAAAAAUUAGACAGAUAGGGAGGCAACAGAAGACGACAGCUGCAGAGACUGCGCACCUCAGACAGAGCAGCCCCUGAAUGGCCAAAUGCAGACUUCAGUGAGGAGUGGCCCUACAGGACUUUGGGCUCGAGACACUCCCAAAGCAGCUGCUGAGCAGAAGCAGGUCGGAGAACGGCGCCAAGCACAGCCGGCUACUGAAGCGGCACUCUGCCCACCUGAGAGGCCAACGCAGCAGCCACAGUGAUAGUACUGAAAUUCCCCCCCCCCCUUGCUUAUGCUGUGCACCCAGGUGUUCGAUUCUGGGGUGUACGGAAAAAAAGGGGGAGGGGUUACCCCUCGCUAUAUCUAAAGCAUUUGACUAUGGACACAAGAACUGCUGAUUAUUCCUGAAUGUCCCACGCUUUUAUUAAAAAAAGACCUGUUGGAGACUUUGAUUUCCCCUACUGUUCUCCAGGACUGUAAAGAAAAGCAGGCUGCUCUCUGCCUUCGCCAUGCCCACCUUGCUGAGGAAGGCUUUGCAGCCACUGCUGGCUGAAUCCUCCCAGCUGCCUUGGUCACAGCCCAAGCCUGGGAACUCUGCUUACAGCCACCUGCCCCCGCAGGUAGCAACUGACUGAAGCGAGGAGGGGCCCGGGAGGUUCCGGAGCCCAAUUCCAAACAGCCUUCCCGAGCUGCUUGCAAGUUUCACAGAGAACAACUGCUCCCAGCUCCCAGACCGCAGCUAUGGAAAGCUUGGGGUUCAGCAAUGCCCAAGCAGAGCCGGUUUUGAUGGCGCAUGCUGGUAAAAAGGCAGGGCAGCAAUGGUAAAUGAGCUGAGCAGUCUACUUAAAGGGACAUCACCUGGAUGGCAGAGAAUCUUUUUCUUACCAGGACUAAGAAGAUCAAAGAAGAAAUCUUCUCGAGGUUUGGCCUGCUCAAGGCGCGGUUGAAGGCUCUCCAGAUCUCCGAGCCCAGGCAUAGAGACCCCUGGCCACCCUGACACCUGGAAAUCUCGCAUUCGUUCCAGAAUUGACGCCUGGGGUAUAUCCGGAGGGACAUGAGAAAAGCUGCAGCACCCCACAGCCAGAACAGCAGCUGCCCGCUCAUACCUGCAAUCCAUGCCUCCUCAAGCCCUUGCUUUGAUACCCCUGCCCUUACCCCUGAUUUCUGUCAACUAGUAGCAGGGCUAGCCUCCUGGGAUAUCUGAGAUACAUAUCCCCCACAGCUGACCCUGGAGGCUGGCAAAAGAUUUUCCCCUGGAGGAAAUAUUUAAACACUGGGGUUCAGACAUCU